rnacentral:rRNA from 1 species
GAUGAACGCUGGCGGCGCGCUUAAUACAUGCAAGUCGAACGAACGGACGAGCAUCUUGCUUCUCUGUUGUUAGCGGCGGACGGGUGAGUAACACGUGGAUAACCUACCUAUAAGCCUGGGAUUACUUCGGGAAACCGGAGCUAAUACCGGAUGAUAUUUUGAACCGCAUGGUUCAAACGUGAAAGACGGUCUUGCUGUCACUUAUAGAUGGAUCCGCGCUGCAUUAGCUAGUUGGUAAGGUAACGGCUUACCAAGGCAACGAUGCAUAGCCGACGUGAGAGAGUGAUCGUCCACACUGGAACUGAGACACGGUCCAGACUCCUACGGGAGGCAGCAGUAGGAGAGCUGCAGCAAUGGGCGAAAGCCUGACGGAGCAGCGCCGCGUGAGUGAUGAGGGUCUUCGGAUCGUAAAACUCUGUUAUUAGGGAAGAACAUAUGUGUAAGUAACUGGGCACAUCUUGACGGUAGCUAAACAGAAAGCCACGGCUAACUACGUG